rnacentral:misc_RNA from 1 species
GGGUGGUUAGCAGCCCAUGGAGUAAGAAGAGUGGCCAAAGACCACAGCCCCACGCCCCAUGCCAUCACUCUUUUUCCUCCAUAUUUGUCUACCAAGGCUCCUCCUAUUACUGAUGAGAAUAUGUAUCCCCAUAGAAACGAUGACUGGACGAUGCCCAGAAAGGAGCUGGACCAACCGUAUUUGGCAGCAAGGGGAACAACAGCAACAGACAUGACAACGCGAUCAGCAUUACAAAGGCACAUAACGCA